rnacentral:rRNA from 1 species
GUAACGGCGAGUGAAGCGGCAACAGCUCAAAUUUGAAAUCUGGCUCUCGGGCCCGAGUUGUAAUUUGUAGAGGAUGCUUUUGGUGAGGUGCCUUCUGAGUUCCCUGGAACGGGACGCCAGAGAGGGUGAGAGCCCCGUAUAGUCGGCCACCGAUCCUUUGUAAAGCUCCUUCGACGAGUCGAGUAGUUUGGGAAUGCUGCUCAAAAUGGGAGGUAUAUCUCUUCUAAAGCUAAAUAUAGGCCAGAGACCGAUAGCGCACAAGUAGAGUGAUCGAAAGAUGAAAAGCACUUUGAAAAGAGGGUUAAAUAGCACGUGAAAUUGUUGAAAGGGAAGCGCUUGUGACCAGACUUGUGCCGGGCUGAUCAUCCGUCCUUUUGGGCGGUGCACUCGACCCGGCUCAGGCCAGCGUCGGUUCUCGUAGGGGGAUAAAAGCUUCGGGAACGUGGCUCCUUCGGGAGUGUUAUAGCCCGUUGCUUAAUACCCUUGUGGGGACCGAGGUUCGCGCUCUGCAAGGACGCUGGCAUAAUGGUCAUCAGCG